GCUCAUCGACUCCCUGCACUCCUACUGCUUCUCGGCUCGGCAGAACAAGAGCCAGGUAUGCUGCCUGCGGGAGCAGGUUGAGAAGAAGAACGGAGAGCUAAAGAGCCUUCGGCAGAGGGUCAGCCGAUCUGACAGCCAGGUGCGCAAGCUGCGGGAGAAGCUGGACGAGCUGAGAAGAGCAAGUCUCCCUUACCUCCCCUACCUAAGUGGUCUGCUGCCCCCCAGUCACGAGCCUCCCAAGCUGAAUCCAGUGGUGGAGCCGUUGUCCUGGAUGCUGGGUACCUGGCUGUCAGAGCCGCCGGGAGUUGGUACCUUCCCAACACUGCAACCCUUCCAGUACCUGGAGGAGGUGCACAUCUCCCAUGUGGGUCAGCCUAUGCUCAACUUCUCGU
rnacentral:lncRNA from 1 species